rnacentral:rRNA from 1 species
GAUGAACGCUAGCGGCAGGCUUAAUACAUGCAAGUCGAACGGGAUUCAGGGUAGCAAUACUUUGAUGAGAGUGGCGCACGGGUGCGUAACGCGUAUGCAACCUACCUUUAACAGGGGAAUAGCCCCAAGAAAUCGGGAUUAAUACUCCGUAACAUUGCGGGAUGGCAUCAUUCUGCAAUUAAAGAUUUAUCGGUUAAAGAUGGGCAUGCGUGACAUUAGCUUGUUGGUGAGGUAACGGCUCACCAAGGCAACGAUGUCUAGGGGUCCUGAGAGGGUUAUCCCCCACACUGGUACUGAGACACGGACCAGACUCCUACGGGAGGCAGC